GACGAACGCUGGCGGCGUGCUUAACACAUGCAAGUCGAACGGAAAGGCCCUGCUUUUGUGGGGUGCUCGAGUGGCGAACGGGUGAGUAACACGUGAGUAACCUGCCCUUGACUUUGGGAUAACUUCAGGAAACUGGGGCUAAUACCGGAUAGGAGCUCCUGCUGCAUGGUGGGGGUUGGAAAGUUUCGGCGGUUGGGGAUGGACUCGCGGCUUAUCAGCUUGUUGGUGGGGUAGUGGCUUACCAAGGCUUUGACGGGUAGCAGGCCUGAGAGGGUGACCGGCCACAUUGGGACUGAGAUACGGCCCAGACUCCUACGGGAGGCAGCAGUGGGGAAUAGUGCACAAUGGGCGGAAGCCUGAUGCAGCAACGCCGCGUGCGGGAUGACGGCCUUCGGGUUGUAAACCGCUUUCGCCUGUGACGAAGCGUGAGUGACGGUAAUGGGUAAAGAAGCACCGGCUAACUACGUG
rnacentral:rRNA from 1 species